rnacentral:misc_RNA from 1 species
AACGGUCUAUACCUGCGGUACCUGCGGAGGGAUCAUUAAUGAGAAACUGCCCCUCGCGGGUAGAUCUCCCACCCUUUGUAAACUUACCUUUGUUGCUUUGGCAGGCCCGUCUCCGGACCGCCGGCUUCGGCUGGCCAGUGCCUGCCAGAGGAUUCUAAAGCUCUGUCUGUCAGUGUUGUCUGAGUCUAUAUACAAUCGUUAAAACUUUUAACAAUGGAUCUCUAGAUCGGAAGAGCACAC